GAUGAACGCUGGCGGCGUGCUUAACACAUGCAAGUCGAACGGAAAGGCCUCUGCUUGCAGGGGUACUCGAGUGGCGAACGGGUGAGUAACACGUGGGUGAUCUGCCCUGCACUUCAGGAUAAGCCUGGGAAACUGGGUCUAAUACCGGAUAGGACAAUGGUUUGGAUGCUGUUGUGGAAAGUUUUUCGGUGUGGGAUGAGCUCGCGGCCUAUCAGCUUGUUGGUGGGGUAAUGGCCUACCAAGGCGUCGACGGGUAGCCGGCCUGAGAGGGUGUACGGCCACAUUGGGACUGAGAUACGGCCCAGACUCCUACGGGAGGCAGCAGUGGGGAAUAUUGCACAAUGGGCGCAAGCCUGAUGCAGCGACGCCGCGUGGGGGAUGACGGCCUUCGGGUUGUAAACUCCUUUCGCUAGGGACGAAGCGUUUUUGUGACGAUACCUGGAGAAGAAGCACCGGCUAACUACGUG
rnacentral:rRNA from 1 species